GACGAACCGUGCGAACGUUGUUCGGAAUCACUGGGCUUAAAGGGCGCGUAGGCGGGCAUUCAAGUCGGUGGUGAAAUCCUCCAGCUUAACUGGAGAAGAGCUGUCGAUACUGGAUGUCUCGAGGGGUGCAGGGGUCUGCGGAACUUCGGGUGGAGCGGUGAAAUGCGUAGAUAUCUGGAGGAACACCGGUGGCGAAGGCGGCAUCCUGGACCGACACUGACACUGAGGAGCGAAAGCCAGGGGAGCAAACGGG
rnacentral:rRNA from 1 species